UCCUCCUCUCCCUUUCUUUUCCUCCACUUCCCUCCCUUGCCAGUUCAUCCCAACCCUCGUCUCUCCCUUCCUCUCCCCCUCCUAAACCCGCGUGACUUCCCAGGUGGAAAGAAACCAACCAUCGCGUCAAUAUUUUCGUCCGCAACUGUCCAUAAAUACGUACAUACCUGUGUGUUGUGUUGUGCCCCCACACCUGCGACCAAUUAAUUAACCUGCCCUCUAUACCCGCUCCCUCCUCCUCCUCCUCACCUCACACGAUCCCUACCCGAGAUGUGUUUGACGUUUGGUUCAUUCGCUCAGAGUUUACAGUCUACGCAUUUACAGGAAGAGGGUCGGGAGGAGGUGUUAGUUUCCUUUCUCUUAUGUUUUUACUCGUUGUUGUUUGUCGUACGAGUUUAUGAAUGGAGGAGGUUGUAACAUGUCAAACUCUUUAUAUUUUCACCAUUCUUCCAUCUGUUUCUUUCGGAGUUACAGUUUAUGUGUUUUGAGGAGCUGUAUUUUCCUUUCUCUUGUGUUAUCUUGUUGUUUAUUGUACGAGUUUGUGAAUGGAGGAGGUUGUAACAUGUCAAACUCUUUACUCUUUCACCAUUCUUUCAUCUAUUUCUUUCGGAGUUACAGUUUAUGCGUUUCGAGGAGCUGUAUUUUCCUUUCUCUUGUGUUAUCUUGUUGUUUAUUGUACGAGUUUGUGAAUGGAGGAGGUUGUAACAUGUCAAACUCUUUGCAUUUUCACCAUUCUUUCAUCUAUUUCUUUUGGAGUUACAGUUUAUGCAUUUUGAGGAGCUGUAUUUUCCUUUCUCUUAUGUUUUACUUCUUGUUGUUUGUUGUACGAGUUUGUGAAUGGAGGAGAUUAUAACAUGUCAAACUCUUUACUCUUUCACCAUUCUUUCAUCUAUUUCUUUUGGAGUUACAGUUUAUGCGUUUCGAGGAGUUAUUGUAUGAGUUUAUAAAUGGAGGAGCUUAUAACAUGUCAAACUUUUCUCUCUACUUUUUCACCUGUCCAUUUUUCUCAGAGUUACAGUUUAUGCAUUUCGAGGAGUUGUAUUUCCCAUUCUUAUAUUUUAUUAAAUAAUUUUGUUGUUUAUUGUACGAGUUUAUCAGUGGAAGAUCUAAUAACAUGUCAAACUCUUUUCUCUCUACUCUUUUGGCCUCGUAAACUCUCCUCACCAGUCCAUUUCGUUCUUGGUUAAGUUUUCCUUGCCUAUGUUUUACUUCUUUUUAACGUACAAGUUUAUCAGUGGAAGACUUAAUAACAUGUCAACCUUUUUUCUUCUAUACUCUUUUGGUGUCGUAAUCUUCACUUGUUCGUUUCUUUUUAACACCUAAUCUUUAUAGUCCUCCUUGCUAGUUCAUUCCCCACCUCCCCUUUUCUCCCCCUCUACUCCUGUCUCUCCCUCACCCUCCACACUCUUCCCCAUACUAGUUCAUCCCCCCCUUCCUCCCACUGUACUCUCCCCUCUCCUCCUCUCGCAUCCCCCAUUCCCCCACCUGUUCCUCCCUACCUUCCCCUCCCCCAUGUCCUUGCCUCAUGUUAAUCCCUUCUGAACCACUCUCCAUCUAUACUUAUUCUCCCAGUCACCCAUCUUCUUCCAUGCCCAUUUCCCACUUUUAUUCCUGCAUGUGUCGCCACCCUCACGUCAUCCAUGUUACCUAGCUGCAGUCCCAUUUAUUUUUUCUUUGUUUUUCCCUGAUCUGUUUACUUCACACUUAUUACUCGGUCCCUGCUUUUCUCUGCCUCACCCCUGUCCUGUCAUUUUCUUCUUGCGCCUGUCACCCACGUGCUUUGCCCUAACCUUGUUCUCGCUUCCUCUCCCUCCCUCCCUUUCCCCGCACACCAAGCAUUCAUUCCUCCCCUCACCUUUUCCUCCACAGCUGUUUGUUACCCACUUGUAUUUUCCUCACCCACACCUAGUUCUCCACUUUCCUCUCUUCCACAACUACUCUCCACCUCUUUCCUCCACACCCUCCAUUGCCUCUUCUCUCCAUAACCGUUUCCUCCACAGCUGUUAACCGUCACGCAAGUGUAUGUGUGCUGCUGUAUGUGUAUGUAAAUAUGUCUGUAUAUACCAUGUGAGUGUGUGAAGGUUUGUGAUUUCACACUUUGAAGUUUUAUAAAGAUAAACAAUGCACCUGU